AAAGAGGAGAGCACAGAGAAGGAAAGGGAGGCAGAAAGGCCUGAGAUUGCAAAGGGGCAAUAUCCCUGCACCAGGCUGCCUCCAAGAAAACAGCCAGGAGACUGCUAGCCCUAGAACUGAUAGACUGAAUUGGAGCUCAAUAAAUCUUUCUAUAGCUUUGAUGUGAACCCUAAGGUGUCAUUGAGCUGGAGUAACUGACUGGCCCUUACCUGGGAGUAACUUGAAUAUUACUCUGAUUCUUGGUGUAAGGGACCAGCUAUCACAAAGGUACACUCAUCUGGAUGGCGAAAUAAACUGAAGAACCAAAGGGGAGUGUUAAGGCUGUUAUAGUGGCUGAGGAGUUCAUACUUGAUAACAGAUUUCACCAACCAAAGUACAGAAUUCACAACGCAAUCUGGGGUUUGUUCCUUGGUUCCUAACAGUCUGCCCUGAGUUAUGGACUCAUCUUAAUAGACGUGUCAUCUUUGAUGGACACACAAGUAUUUCUAAUUGCUACAACUUGCACCAUAGCAACGUCAAUUUAAAUGUACUUAAAUGAUCCCUGGCCAGCCUGGAUGGAUGGAUGGUUCCAAAUCACAUAUCAAGAGCUUGUACCAUCCUUUGUUCUGGUGCUAAAUUCUUUUUCAACACCAUCAGAGUUGAUCCACCC